rnacentral:rRNA from 1 species
GCGUGAGUGAUGAAGGCCUUAGGGUUGUAAAGCUCUUUUACCCGGGAUGAUAAUGACAGUACCGGGAGAAUAAGCCCCGGCUAACUUCGUGCCAGCAGCCGCGGUAAUACGAAGGGGGCGAGCGUUGUUCGGAAUUACUGGGCGUAAAGCGCACGUAGGCGGCUUUGUAAGUUAGAGGUGAAAGCCCAGGGCUCAACCCUGGAAUUGCCUUUAAGACUGCAUCGCUUGAACAUCGGAGAGGUAAGUGGAAUUCCGAGUGUAGAGGUGAAAUUCGU